UUCCUACGGGACGCAGCAGUUGGGAAUAUUGGACAAUGGAGGAAACUCUGAUCCAGUGACGCCGCGUGAAGGAAGAAGGUCUUCGGAUUGUAAACUUAUUUUAUCAGGGAAGAAAAAAAUGACUGUACCUGAAGAAGAAGCACCGGCUAACUACGUGCCAGCAGCCGCGGUAAUACGUAGGGAGCGAGCGUUGUCCGGAUUUACUGGGUGUAAAGGGUGCGUAGGCGGGUAAGCAAGUCAGAAGUGAAAUCCAUGGGCUUAACCCAUGAACUGCUUUUGAAACUGUUUAUCUUGAGUGAAGUAGG
rnacentral:rRNA from 1 species